rnacentral:rRNA from 1 species
UACGUAGGUGACAAGCGUUGUCCGGAUUUACUGGGCGUAAAGAGCGCGCAGGCGGUCGUUCAAGUCGAGUGUGAAAGCCCCCGGCUCAACUGGGGAGGGUCAUUCGAUACUGAUCGACUGGAAGGCAGGAGAGGGAAGUGGAAUUCCCGGUGUAGUGGUGAAAUGCGUAGAUAUCGGGAGGAACACCAGUGGCGAAGGCGACUUCCUGGCCUGUUCUUGACGCUGAGGCGCGAAAGCUAGGGGAGCAAACGGG